UCUUUGCUAGUAUAUCGGUUAGUACACGCGCCUGUCAUACCAAAGCUAAAAGGCAUUGUGUGUACGCGCGAAAGCUGGGUUCGACUCCCAGGCAGAGAG